rnacentral:rRNA from 1 species
AACGCUGGCGGCGUGCCUCAGACAUGCAAGUCGAACGCGAAAGCCCCCUUCGGGGGGCAAGUAGAGUGGCGCACGGGUGAGUAACACGUAGGUAAUCUACCUUCGGAUGGGGAAUAACAACCGGAAACGGUUGCUAAUACCGCAUAAUGCAGCGGCACCUAAUGGUGACUGUUGUUAAAGCGGGGAUCGAAAGACCUCGCGUCUGAAGAGGAGCCUGCGGCGGAUUAGCUAGUUGGUAGGGUAACGGCUUACCAAGGCAACGAUCCGUAGCCGGCCUGAGAGGGCGGUCGGCCACACUGACACUGACAUACGGGUCAGACUCCUACGGGAGGCAGCAGUCGGGAAUUUUGGGCAAUGGGCGAAAGCCUGACCCAGCAACGCCGCGUGAAGGAUGAAAUCCCUCGGGAUGUAAACUUCGCAAGAACGGGAAGAAUAAGUAGGGGACAAUACCCCCUAUGAUGACGGUACCGUUUGUAAGCUCCGGCUAACUCCGUGCCAGCAGCCGCGGUAAUACGGGGGGAGCAAGCGUUGUUCGGAUUUACUGGGCGUAAAGGGCGCGUAGGCGGCCACCGCAAGUCAAUUGUGAAAUCUCCGGGCUUAACUCGGAAAGGUCAACUGAUACUGCGGGGCUAGAGUGCGGAAGGGGCAACUGGAAUUCUCGGUGUAGCGGUGAAAUGCGUAGAUAUCGAGAGGAACACCUGCGGCGAAGGCGGGUUGCUGGGCCGACACUGACGCUGAGGCGCGAAAGCCAGGGGAGC